rnacentral:rRNA from 1 species
GACGAACGCUGGCGGCGUGCUUAACACAUGCAAGUCGAACGGAAAGGCCCUGCUUUUGUGGGGUGCUCGAGUGGCGAACGGGUGAGUAACACGUGAGUAACCUGCCCUUGACUUUGGGAUAACUUCAGGAAACUGGGGCUAAUACCGGAUAGGAGCUCCUGCUGCAUGGUGGGGGUUGGAAAGUUUCGGCGGUUGGGGAUGGACUCGCGGCUUAUCAGCUUGUUGGUGGGGUAGUGGCUUACCAAGGCUUUGACGGGUAGCCGGCCUGAGAGGGUGACCGGCCACAUUGGGACUGGGAUACGGCCCAGACUCCUACGGGAGGCAGCAGUGGGGAAUAUUGCACAAUGGGCGGAAGCCGGAUGCAGCAACGCCGCGUGCGGGAUGACGGCCUUCGGGUUGUAAACCGCUUUCGCCUGUGACGAAGCGUGAGUGACGGUAAUGGGUAAAGAAGCACCGGCUAACUACGUG